UACAGAGGUGGCAAGCGUUGUUCGGAAUUACUGGGCGUAAAGGGCGCGUAGGCGGCCUUCUAAGUCAGACGUGAAAUCCCCCGGCUUAACCUGGGAACUGCGUCUGAUACUGGGAGGCUUGAGUGCAGGAGAGGAACGCGGAAUUCCAGGUGUAGCGGUGAAAUGCGUAGAUAUCUGGAGGAACACCGGUGGCGAAGGCGGCGUUCUGGACUGCAACUGACACUGAGGAACGAAAGCCAGGGGAGCAAACGGG
rnacentral:rRNA from 1 species